GAUGAACGCUGGCGGCGUGCCUAAUACAUGCAAGUCGAGCGAACAGACGAGGCUCUUGCUCCUCUGACGUUAGCGGCGGACGGGUGAGUAACACGUGGAUAACCUACCUAUAAGACUGGGAUAACUUCGGGAAACCGGAGCUAAUACCGGAUAAUAUAUUGAACCGCAUGGUUCAAUAGUGAAAGACGGUUUUGCUGUCACUUAUACAUGGAUCCGCGCCGCAUUAGCUAGUUGGUAAGGUAACGGCUUACCAAGGCAACGAUGCGUAGCCGACCUGAGAGGGUGAUCGGCCACACUGGAACUGAGACACGGUCCAGACUCCUACGGGAGGCAGCAGUAGGGAAUCUUCCGCAAUGGGCGAAAGCCUGACGGAGCAACGCCGCGUGAGUGAUGAAGGUCUUCGGAUCGUAAAACUCUGUUAUUAGGGAAGAACAAAUGUGUAAGUAACUAUGCACGUCUUGACGGUACCUAAUCAGAAAGCCACGGCUAACUACGUG
rnacentral:rRNA from 1 species